rnacentral:lncRNA from 1 species
AAACAGCCAGAGUUGCUGAACUGUUCUUUCCCUCAGGUGAAGCUGGAAUUCAAAGGAUUUAGAACACUGCACCUUUAGUGAACUUUCCAACUAAAAAUUAGUAAAAGGGAGUAAUAUAUUUACACAAAUACAAAUUUUUAGUUGCUCCUAAAAGUCCUCUGACAUUUCUGUACUCAUAAAAGAUGCCUUUGGUGCGCUGUGAAUAGCUUGGAAAACUCAGCCAAGAGAGCCAUUGGACUGCUGAAACUCACCGGGCUGCUGAAACCCACUGGGACUCCCACACUAUCUCACCAAAAAGGAGUCUUGAGGGUAUUUUACAUCUCAGUCUCAUGAAUUAAGACUUAAGCAAUCAGAUACAUAGAACAUUGUAAUGAUUCCACCUGGUCCUUGGUGAUGAUACCAGGGGCAAUUUAACUUCAGUGGGAUGUGCGCCUUGAAGAUGUUUUCCACCUGGACCUGAUGGCUCCACACAGUAUUGAGGUUGAUGCUGACAUGCUGGAAAGAGGUAUGCGCCUAGGAAGGGUCCACCCAGCUCCUCCACAGGGUUCUGCUGGUGUGGUGUUCUCCCCAGCACUCCUAUAUCUCCUCCCUGCGCAUCACCCGUGCACAGUGGGGCUACUCACAUUCACACCCUGUGCUGCAUGGGCAUUCCCUGGUACCCCUAGCACCUGACAUAGCCCUACACACCUCUUCUGCAGUGGCUCUGCUGAGUCCCAGAGCCCUCGUGACAACAGCAGGAGAGGCAGUAUUGGGGGGUUGCACUUGAGGGGGCACAAGAAAUAAUCUGAGGAAACAAAUAUACAUUAUUUAGGGUGGUGUGGGGAUGCUUGGCACUCCCAGGGACUGAGCAGAACUUGCUGCCUCCCAUUUGAGGCUACAGGGAGAUAAAGGGGCAUUUUGGGGGGGCAGGAACAGGCACUGUUUUUCCUUUAAUUUCAUCUACUCACAAACUGGAUUCUGUACCUGAAGAUGCAUGGGAAAACAGGUUUGCAACCACCUGUGAGUGCUGCCUUCCUUUGUACAAUCUCUAGUAACCAAUGCAAAUGCCUUGUUAAUGCAUGGCACUUAAAAACCAAGGUGGUGUUGUCCGCCUUUCUGAGGGGGAAGAAAAGAUUUCGCUACAUCUCCUGCGAACAUCAUUAGAUGUCCAUAGCUUUUGGCUGCUGUUUUCAGUGAGCUCAUCACAAUAAAUCGUUUCCUUCUCAAAUGCAAAACACCGACAACAGAAAUUACUUAACCUCAAGGAAUACAUUAAUAACAAUCUAAUCUCUUUACUGUUAAGUAUACUGAAAUGCAGUGAUUCUUCUGUUAUGCACUUACCAUUUUGAAGGGUGUAAUUAUGAAAGACUGGUGAAAGAGGACAUAAGGUUGAAAAGCCCUGUGGAGAAGAUGUGAGAUAAUCAAGAGAUGCAGAUGUAUAUUCUGGGUCUUAGCUAAAAUUAUUGCCCCUCACAGGCGGAUGCGGUUCCCUGUCUCACUCACAGGAAGCGCCCAUGUGGGAGACACUGCAAGGGCAGCUCUGAGUGACUGAACCCUGAAACAGCCACACCGUGCAUCAGGCAACAAGAAUCAGACCAGACAGUUCAGACUACACAAGAAAACAUCCCCAAGAAGGACUUUGGAUAUGCAGACAUCGCCUUGACAUGUCUAGCACGCUGUACCACACUGCUGGGCGACUACAAGACAGGAGACGCGUAAGAGGGAAGGAAGCUGCAGGAAGAUAGGAGCAAGCAGUCAAGAUAUCUGCCUUCACUCAGCUCUGCGUGCUCCUAGAAGGAGGUUGGGCGAGGAGAACUUUUCCUGACAGAGGCCAGAUGCUGUCCUUUCUUCUCCUUAAACACACAAGACAUGCUGCAUGUUGACUUCUGCUUCUCCUAUUCCAGCUGUUGGCUUUUUUGUUCCCUGUGAAUAACCACGUUGAGCUGAAAGCCCAGACAACCUAGGGCAGACCUACAUGGACCAGGCAGCUAAACUGAGGAGGGUAUGAGAGGACGAGUAGAAAGCUGGAGUAGCAGGACCUCAGGAAAAUAAACAAACUGUCAAUCUUAGAUGUCUCAAAAGGUUUCAGCAGGUACCCACCCGACAAAAAGAUCACUGAACAUAACUUCCCAGGCUCUGUUUGCAUAGUUGUCAACUCUUGCAGGUGUUUUACCAGGCAACCCCUGUCCAAUACCUGAUGCAUGCCAGCCAAGAGCAAAGCUUUAUAGAGAACGCUCCGUUUAAAAUGAAAGUAUUGGCUUGCUGGAGUUUGCAGUCAGAGGCUGCUGUCUGUGUUUGGCCGUGCUUUCUGAGUUCUGUAAAUCACUCCUGGGUUGUCAAAACAGGGAGAACCACACCUUGCAUGUGUACUGGGAUGUUCCAGGUACAACUGUAAACCUUUUCCUGCACUGAACCAAUAAGCAACUGUCAGAAAGGUCAUUUUUUCAGAAACAGAUAAUACAAAUACCCAAGGAGAAAAGGAAUUUCAGAAACAGUGCCCCAGUCUCCAGUGUUGCUCCAAAGACAUGCACUUAAACAAGUAGAAACCAAGGUGAGACAUCCUGGAGCUAAAAACACAGAUCUUACUUUGCAGACGCAGAACUGGAAAGAGACAAGUCUGGAUAAGAUCUGGGAGUUGGGGAUGGGAAGCACCAGCUUCGCAGCACCUACAGUGUUGAUCCAGACAAGAAAACUGCUGAAAGAAUCCGUCCUAUGACCCUGGCUUUCGUGUUUCAACCCUCUGAGCAGCUGCAUGCAGCAGCUACUGAAGAUCUAAGCUGGCCUGCUGCAGACAUAGCUCUCCCACCCAAAGUUCACCAGGGAACAAGCAUGCAAACUUGCACAUCUCUGUUUUCAUGGCAGUGAUGGAGACAUGCAAGAUUAUAAGCAGUUGUUGGACAUUACACUGGGCAAAGAAGUUGUUUCCACACUUCUUAUCACAUGCACUGUGCAGAUCUUGCAACGCCGUCAUGUAUUACCACCUUUUGUAUGUAGAUACAUGAAAAUAUUUGGUUUCAGUAACACUGAUCUCAGUGUUAAGACCAAAACCAAACACUGUAUGUACUGAAAAUGUGCCAGCAUGGAAAGUACAGUACAGAAAUUACUCAUUUUCCCUUUUUUUUGUGUGUGUGUGUUCUUUUCUGAUGGUAAAGAUUUUUUGGCAAAUGAUAAUCAAUGGAUAAUAAAUCUAAUGCUAGAAAAUUGCAUCAAAUUGCAGGGUAGUUUUCCACACUGCUCUCCCAGGGAAGGUGUCCAAGUGUACUAUAUUUUUGCUGCCUGGGAGAGGCCCUUACCUAUGCCUGCGACUCCUUGCAAUUUCACCUCCACCUGGACUGCAGCCAUUUUUAAAAACCACAGCUGUUCCUUAUUUUCUCCAAGAAAAGCAGUACAAAGGCUGCCUCCCAACCCAUGCUGGGACUGUCUUACUGCUACCCUGGCAUAGCAGCACCCGCUGUCCUUUGGGAUCGCAUGCAGGAAAGCAAUCAGACUGUCAAGCUUUUCACACCAGGCUGGUGUUGCACCGAAGCGUUGUAGGAAAUCAUACAGCCUGAAACCUUACCUGCAGCCUGAGUGCUGCUCAGACCUGGUUUUUAAAGAAUCAUAGAAUGGUCUCGGUUAAAAAGGACAAUGAUCAGCUAGUUUCAACCCCCCUGUUACGUGCAGGGUCGCCAACCACUAGACCAGGCCGCCCAGAGCCACAUCCAGCCUGGCCUAAAGGCAUCAGUAAAUUCAUGCUUCAGUCAGCAUGCUCGAUUUUCAUGCAGAUAUUCUUGGCAACUUUUCCAGUCUCUAAAAAACAACUCAUUUGAAAGUUUAUGAGAAGCAGCAUUUUAUUUUUGGAGGCAGAGGCUUUUGCUGCAUCAAAGCCUGCAGAUAUCUGUAUGCCACAAAAGCUGAUUUUCAGUGACGAAUAAAGUGAUUCCCAGACAGCAGAGUGCAGAGUAAAACGUGAUCCAAGAUCACUCAGUACCACAGGCAUAAUGCAAACUGAAGAACUGGGGCCAUUUCUAAUUAUAUGCAAAUUAACAAAAUCCAGAUCCUGCAGUGAAAAACCAAUUCCGGGGAGAAAUUAUCAUCCAUCUUUUGUAGUCCUAGUGGUGGUGCUUGAGAAGAAGCUUAUUUACAAAAUGGCAAUCUCCACAAAGAGGCUGCCUUACCACUGCCCAAAAAAGGCACAAAUGCAGAUACACACUACUACAGCUCUAUAAUGCUCUGCCUGGAAAAUUCCCAGAGGUGUGGGGAUGAUGCCUGAGGACUGAGAUGUGCCAAACUGAGCCUACAUGGAAACCAAUCCACAUGGAAGGAGCCUGAUUUCUGCUCCAGCAAGGGAGUGUGCACACUGGCACGUGGAAACUAAACAUUAGGAGCCUUGAGUACAGGAAACUGCAUCCAGUUCAAUUCAUGCCAGCUAUGAAUCUAAUGCAACCUACAAAAAUAGUGCUCUGAAAUUUGUGCUUUGAAAUGUCCGCUUUCAGCAUAGAGCAGGAAAAUCAUAUGCCCUUUAAAUUAUGUAUAAGUGAAAACAUCCUCUCAAUAAAAGCAUUAAUGAUGUGUAAAACAAAAUGAUAUUUAAAAAAUGCAUCAGGCUUUAGACUUUCUGCACUUACUGGAUUAUUUACAUGUGGAUGAGAAGCAUCUUAUCCCUGCAUGUAGGAUGACAGAGAAAUGUUCCUUUUCGUGUAUAAGAAAAAAAGAAAAAUAAAAUCAUGAACUCUUGGAAUGGUUCAGAAAGGGAUGAAGAAAACCAAGCAGUGGGUUCACAGAGCAGUGAGAAACAACCUAUACCUAAAGCUGCAUGGUGAGACCAGCACAUAGGGAGAGGAGCCUGCAACAACUUUGGUUUAUGGCCAAGAAAGACAGCAAGAACUGCCCCUUGUGUGGCCACCUAGAUACCAGUCCCAAUGAAGCCGGAAGUGUGCCCAGGGGAGUGAUAUGUAUGUGAUAAAUUCAUUCACAGGAUCUUCUAACCACAGCUGCUGCUCCUACUGAAGGAUGCUGCCACCACAGUCCCGCUACUGCAGCAAGCAGAAAAUAGAAUGUCAGCAGGUACACAGGGACAUCUGAAGUCUAACUUCAGAGCCUUUGUACAUUUUCUGAGCCUAAAACUUACUAUCUGCUUUCUAGUCCUAGCUGGAUACCCACCCGCAUAGCUGGGCAUUGUGGUCUGCAUCCAGCGUUACAAAACUGAAGGCAGCCAGAAAACACUGACACAUUGCACUGCUGGAACAAUGGAGCCUGACGAUGGGAACAUUGGACCACAGGGACCGCACGUUGAAAGCAAAACAUUUCAUUACUGUGGGCUAAGCUUCAUAAUGUACGCUUAUGAGUAAGGUAGAGGUUGUAUGCAGAUCACUUUGUCUGCCACCAACUACAGCUUGUGGAAGUAAAUGCAGCAGGUGCUGACCAGUAUGUAAAGUAUCUUAUCAGUAGAAAGAAAAGAGGGUAAGGUGCAGUUGAAACAGUGGGGGGUUUAGCUUGGCAGAAAGCAAGGUCUUUACUUGACAUCAGCCAGUGACCAAGUAUUACAUCAGGAGCAGAGGGUCCCCAGAAUGCAGCCCUCCAACUCAAGUUCUUGCCUGGUUUCAAUGCUGCAGCACCAGUACCGUGCAGGAGAGUGAGAGGGGCCAGCCUUGGUCAGGAGCUCUGCAGGCACCAGGCUGAGCCUGGGAGUGGCCAGGAAUGCAGGCAGGUGGGUCACAACUCAUAUCUAACUUAACCAUAAAUCUCUGCACGUGGUGGCCUGGUGUUGACUCAGAUCUGUGAUUUCUGUUUUGUUCUCUUUAGGCUUCCGUACAAUAUUUCUGGCUUCAAAUGUCUUUCUGAGAUGGUUUCUAAAAAAUGUAAGUUUCUUCCAGCAAGAAUCACACCUUCAAUCUAAGACAAAAAAUGUGUUUAUCUUUCCUAGAUGUCAGAGGUGGUUAAAAAAAAAAAAAAAAAAAGCUAUUUUGGUCCACCUACUGAAGCGUACCCAAUAUAGUUUAACAGCAACAGCUUUUUUCAGCCCAGAUUAGUUUACCUUCACAGCCAAUCUUCUACAAGCAGCUUAAAAUUGCAUCAAACUCCAUCAAGAGGAACACUUUGUUCUGAUCUCCUCUGAUAUUGCAACUCUUAGUUUGCAUUAGUUUCUGCAUCGGUACAAAAUUCAAGGGGGAGGGAAAAAAUCCUUCAUUGGAAAAAGAGAGUUCUAGGUUUUACUGGUACAAACCUACUGAUUUUUAUUUUUUAAUAAAGAACUUUAAAAAUAUUGCUGCCUGGCUCAAAAGCCUUUUGUGGAAGGUUGAAGUGAACCCCCCCUGCAAAUGCAUAUAAAAAAAAUGUAUGUUCUUGCUAAUGCACAGUCCAAGCCUUCGGAGUCACAUUUUCUGAAACUGGUAAUAUUUAGCAUUGUGGCACUCCAUCAUAUAGCUGGCUGGGACUGCUUCGGUUGCCAAGGCUUGUGAGCUGGACAGGAUAAAAGAUCCCUGCUAGAGUAUUAGCAAGAACGACUGCAGAAAAGGCUCCUGGAAGACUGGAUGCCAAAACGAGGCUGGUGUUUAGGCUGAGGCAAGUGAAAAACACCCAUGUCAUUGUCUCCUGCUUGUCCUCUUGCACACAGCCUCACAGCUGCAAAGAGGAAGAGGCUAGCAAGGGGUUUGAGCAACUGCAGAGAGCAGCCCCAGGAUGUAUCAUAAGAAGUCAAGGGCUGCUGCAGGGUUGCAGUGUGGAGAAAGAGUCAGACUGUUGCUGUAUUUGCUGUGCUCACCUCAAUGCCCAAAUACUGCAGUGACAAAGCAUCCCUCAGGUGUUACUCCAGUGCACCUCUCAGGCUCUGAAAGCAAGCAUGGGCAUUUAGAUAAUUUUUUUUGUUUCUUUUUCCCCUCUAUUUUAAGAGGGAAAUGAACCACUUGUACACAGCUAAAGAAAUAGCAAGUCCAUUGCUGUGAAAAGUUAAAACUCAUUACAACCUAAAAAAAAAAAAACAAAAAAAAACCCCCAAAAAAACAGGGAAAUACAAAUUUGUGCUUUCUGUGUCAUCGAAACUUGUGGAUGCUGAGUGUAAUGAAGCAGAAUGGAAGAGGAAGUGAGCUUCUUCACAUUGUUAACAACCUAAGAGGCUGAGGAGGGAUCCCCCAGGUCUUGAUUUCUCUUCCUCAGCACAGAGGGGCAAGGAAGGAUGCGUCUCUCUGCUGGAGGGCUUUUAAGGGCCUAUCUCAAAAAGAGGUUCAAAGACAGACUACAUGAGCAGUAGCUCAGUCCUACCCCAGAGAGCUGAUGUGCAGCCUACAAUGUCCAAGCCAUGGCCUAGUCUUCACUUCUACCUCUCAGCGAUGUUUCAAGAGCCUCCUCCUCUGACUUUUCUGUUCCUCUUUCGGGGCGAGUGCAGGAAUACUUUCGACAUGAUGUCUUCUCCAUUAUACCUUAGCCAGCAAAAAUGUUUCUUUACUAGAUUCGGAGUUCCAGCACUUUCUCCUUUUAUAUCUUCUUUUUUUUUUUUUUUUUUUUUUUUUUUUUUUUAGUAAGACAGCUAGGAGAAACCUAUCACUAGUUAACUCAAAGGGUCACCCUCGAAAGCACUGAGAGAUGCCUGUGCUGGUGUAAGCAGAAAACACUGUUACUGAGGUCAGAGGCUUGGAUGCAACAAGCAUACACACCAAUUGCAUGCCAUCACUUUCAGAUCCCAAGGACAGAAACGUCCACAUGCUCCCCAGAGUGAUCGCCUUCCUCCAGGGUCCCGUAAGAUAGUGAAGGAAGGCUAAAAUAGUUGUGCACCUGCAGAACCCAGAACAGAGUUGUUUUCGCUUUUCCUGUUCUUUGCUCACUGGGUUAACGUAAUCCUGGAUUUCAGGAUCACUUGCCUCCUGCUUUUUGUCCUGCUCAACAGCAGCAGGGGAGCUCAUGAGAUGCAGUGAUGAAGAGGCAGUCUCCUGUGAAUGUCCACGUACAGUACAGUUCCUCUUUCACCUCACUCUGACUCUUUAUAUACUCAAGCCCAACUGGAGCGUCUUGCCCUCACUGCCACUUUGACCCCACGGGCAGGCUUUGAUGGUACCUCAUCCUGGUGGCUCCUUUCAUCCCACUGCAGAAGCUGCAGCCAGAGCAGGACUACAAGAGAGUGGAUGGAAGACUGGCAGAUGCACAGCUCUUAUCUCAGCAUCUUCGUAUCUACUUUGCUGUGGCUAUGCUCAUUGUACGUAUCUAAAUUUAUUAAUUCGGCCAGCUCCUUGGGCUGAUUCCCAAGCUGAUGUGUUAGGGACUUGCUGUUAUGUGCACAGAAACAAGCAACUCCAAUCAUUCUGCAAACAAUUUGAAUGGCAGCGUUUAGCUCAAAAUGUGUACUUCCAGACUGUAGCCUAAUUCUGCAUUCAGAGAAACAGAAUUACAGUAACAUGUAACAAAGGAUCGAGGCACAACAUCAAGUUGUGGUAAGAAGCAACAGUCUAAGCUCAGAGCAGUACUCAUAGUAGAUGCAGAAAUGCUCAUCCCUGGGGAAGCUGUUUUAUGUUGACUAUAAGUAAGAUUCCGCACGCUAACAGUCAGCGUGUUAGUCAGCAGUUAGUCUACUACAAGUGUGUGAUCAAAUCUGCCCUAGGUAACUGCUUUGUGCAACCCUACUUGACAUGAGAAUGAUCACAGAGUGAAUAAGUGAGAGUCACUAAAUAACUGCUAAGCUAAAUAACUACUGCUUUGCUGCAGCGUGACCCCCAACCUCGCAGAAACUCGCCUCAACUACAGUUAACAUCUGCGUGCUUCCAGAUCCCCACUGUCCAUGCAAUAGCUGUGUAAGCACAUGAAAGCUGCAGAACAGGAGGCCUUUAGUCAUUGGAAUGGUUAAGGCCAAAGAACAUCAGACACAGGCUGCUAUCUACACUACUCUAGUGACCUUGAUGUUUUGCAACCAGAUGGAGAGAAAGAAUAAAAUACCAAUUGAAAAGAUAUGUUCUGAGAUAACAGGAACGAGGCUUGGUUCACCUCAUCGAAUGCUGUGCUUGUUCUCAGCUUUCUAAGUAAGCGUUUGAGCCAGAAAGCUAUUUUCCUAAUUCUGCUAGGUUGAGGGCAUUAUGAGACCUGAUCAAAGUUAAAAAGCUGUCUUCAGUAUUUUAGAGGUUAACAGAAAACUUUAGCCUAUAAUCUCUGGGCUUGCUGUACAUGCUCUAAACCUGCCAAUGGGCAUCAGGGGGUUUCUUCCAUUUGCAGCAGAUCACUGCUGCCUGCAGCAAGGUGCUUACAGCACACAGGAAGGGUGCCACGGAAGGCUUUUCUUCACCAGCCUUUUGUAAGAGAAAUAAAAGCAAUCACGAGGAUACUGCAGCUUUAGAAGACUUGUAAGUAAAAUAUAUAUUUUUUUAUGAUUAUGAGUGGAACAAGAGACGGAUGAGCUAAAUUCACACUCAUUGACAAAAUUCACUUGCCAGAGAGCAUUUAUAAACAUGAACAAGUACCUUUAUUUUCCAGAGAGGUGGGCAAAUUGAUAACCUACCAGAUAAGGUGGAGCCAGGGAGACCAGAAGUGACUGGAAAGGUAUUUGGUGUGAACAUAGACUUAAAAAGUCAACAACAUGACAAGAUAGCACCUGCCUCACCUGCUCAAGCUCCUCUGCCUGAACUUAGGGUUGCCUCUGGCUUUUCAUUUGCUCUCUGGAGGUGAGGUCUUUUUUGCUUCAGAUUACUCACAAACAGAGAGUAACAGCGAAAUCCUCAAUGCUCCUUGUCCUCCCCCAGCAUUUAGAGGUAAGUGAAGUUUGGGGAGGAAAGUUCUCCUCCAGUGCAAUGCCAACCUUCUGUGCAAAUGCUAGCGGGGAGCCCAAAAGUUCUCUGGUUUGCUCCUGGCUGUGAAGCUGUCACGGUCUGCUGCUGUUAGCACAAGAUGUGCUUCAGCUCACCCUUUAGGACAUUAAUGCAGAACAGAAUGGAUAAUUAAUUUAUGUUAAAAAUACCAGGGCUGCACUGGCACAUCCUGCCUUCUCUGAAGAAGAGAAUAAAAGAAAGAACAACUGCUGUGUGACAGAUGUUAGUCAUUAUGCUUAAAUGCACUUCUGGAAGGCACUCAGAUAUAUGUGUCAAAUGAUGAGAGUAAUGCAAGAUGCUGCACAGAAUAGAAGGAACUUCUUUAUAGCUAAACCUACACAAAACUGUUGGAUCACCUUGCAAUAAAAAUGUUACGAAAGAAAAUCCAAUUAACUUUCAACACAGAUUAAGCUUCUGGGAGCUGGGGAAAAAAGAAGAACAAAAAAACAAAAAACAAAAAAACAACUGAGCUCUUCAAGCAGUUAUUCUGCAUUGCUAGGUGGGUGCUGCUUGAAGCACAGCUUGGAAGGAAAUGACACAACUACAUUGUGGCAAACUAUUUGAAUGGCUUUUUGAGCAGCCUGACACGUAGCCUCUGCCCAUGAUAGCAGAGGAGGUGCUUAAAACCUUCCUGGAGAAAGUAGGAACAGCAUGGGUAGAAAGCAGAAGUGGCUGAGAGCGAACAUCAACAUUUAAUGUCUUGCUAACUUCCAGACAGCCAGGGAAUUUCGUCCUUCGAGUACAAGAUAUUUCCAUUUCCUAAUCAAAGCAGCUGCAGUUGUUGUCACUCUCGGUGACAAAGGUGAUUUGCAACCAGAUUUUCAAAUACAUUGAAAGGCGCAACCCCUCAGUCACACCUCUUCCAUCAGACAUAUUGAUGCUACUUUUUUUUUCAGGUCUCAAUAGUGUACUGAUGUUCAAACUAUUUAAAGCAGAAUGAGCUUGUUGUGUAUUGAGUGUCUUACUGCUGGAAGGAUCACGAGGAAAAAAUAAAAGAUUGCUAGCCAGUUUUGCUUUGUAACCCCAAUUAGCAUGAAACAAAUAGCAGCAAUGCAGAAAGCUAGAAAGCCCACUGAUACAAGGAGAGGAGGGAAUGAGCAGAAACAGUGAUGGCAGGAGAGACAGAAGGAACUCAGGUGAAUGCCAUUUUAAAAUAAAACUUAAUUAAAACCGGCAAAGUUCAAGUAAAUGUUGGUGACUAUUCAGAUUAUUGGACGAUGAAAAUAAUGUUUUAUACCUGUAUGCAACAGUCCUUGAAGAUAUGAGAAUACACGGAAGAAACCUGUAUUCCAAACUACAUUGGCAUAGGCAGCCACUAGAUUCAUUCUUGUGCUUAAACAGGUAUCUGGUUAGUGCUAGAAGAAACUCUUAGACCUUUAGCAUCCCAGUUUAGCCAAUAUCAUUUCUUUUGACAGUUAGAUCAUGAGCAGCUUUUGAGGCUCAUUUGCAAGAAUACGUAUUUUCCUCUCCAUCACACACUCUUGGUUUACCCAAGCCUGUGGAUGCCUACAAAGAAAGCCUACAGACAGGAACAUAUCCUGAGCUCGUGACUGCUGAAGCAAUCCAAAUAUAAAUAUUGUGAAGAUGGGGAGUGUCGAAUGAAAAUAACUUUUAUAUGUAGGUGAAGGCCUAUGUUUUUUUUUUUUCCCAUGUUCUGAUCAGAAAUAAGUGGAGGCAUGAAUGUUGUUAGGUGGUGUUUUGUCAACCUGCCAUGUACAGAAAAGAUUUAUAUUGCUAGGUUUCAUGGAAAAUGUGUACUGUGGUAUUUUAAUAGCCCCGAUUUUCUAAAACUACUACAAAAGGGCAAGAACUGCUGUUUGGACUCUAUAUAGCCUAUAUAGAAAAAAAAACAGGAAGAAGAAGAGAGUCAACAGUUGGAAAAAGAAACAGUAAAGGAGGAACAGGUUAUGAUUUCUACAGUUAGCCUGUUUAAUUAGUAUCACAGUCAGUCUGCUGGAAGAUAUCAAGGGAGGUCCUGUUGAGGUCUGCCUGCCUUGAGUACUGCUCAUUUUGACAUGUAAACUGACGUUUUGAGGAUGGAUAAUAAUUAUUUAACCUGCAGAUGGCACAUCCCUGGGAAGGACUGUAAGCACUGAGAACUGAGACUGAUCUUGACAAGGUCAAGAAAUAAUCUGAAAAGAAAUAAGAAACAUUUUGGUAAGGAUAAAUGCAAGCUUCUGUGUCAAAGCAGAAAAAAGCCUCUCUGCAAAGACUGAAAAAUGAUCACCUUUGUCCUAACUCAACCACAGAGGAGCUGAGAGGACACCAUUUCAAACAGCGCUCGAGUCAGCAAGCAUGCUGUUGCAAAACCCAGCACACCGAGUAUAUAAAAUCUUAAAUUGUUUGUGAUGCAUUUGCUUGAGGCUGGUAAGAUGGCAACACAUGUACAUCCCCUGAUUUUGGAUUUUCUAAUUCUGUGUGCAAGAAAGAGACAGACAGGUCAGAAAGAGCCUAAAGAAUCAGUAAGAGCAUGGCAAGGGCUGCAAACCACCAUUGGUGGAAGGCUUUAUAAAUGCCUAGAAGAGGAUGCAGAAGACAUCUGACAACAGUCUUUAAUUAUGUAAGGAGCUGCAAGCAAGAAAGGAAACAAACUGUUUCCAUAGCUCCUCUCGAGAACAUGGUCUGUAAGACUAAAAGAGACAGAAUAAGAUGGUAGCAUGAGAAACGCAGGUCGGACAGGAGGAAAGGUAUCCAACAGUAAGCAGGGUGAACCACUGAAACCAGCUUGUCUAGGGGGGCUGUGAAUAUCCAUUGCCAGAGGUUUUAAGAAAGCAAAUUUUUUCACAUUGUUUAAGUGGAAAAAUUACAGAUGCCUUUGUGCUGUGUGGACUCUGAAACAUAUACUUGUAGACACCUCUGCAACAGCAGAUUUAAGUUUACUGUCAGAUACUUCCUUUGAGCCAUUUUUCAACCCGAGCUCCAGCCAGGUUGAAGACCAGUGUGAGAAAGGGGUCUGGUUUAGCUAAUCUUUGCCUGGCGGACCACUGUUGAUGUUCUCUCAAGGUCCUUGCCAACUCCAUUGCAAUACAUCCUAUUAAAUAUCCACUUGUUCUCCUCACCCUUAGAUUUCUUUGGUCCUUCCUUCAUGAGGGGACACUGAGAUGGAGGAGUUCUCGUACAACUUGUGAGACGCCAUUCAAGAUCACGAAAACAAAUCUAUUUAACAACUCAGCAUCUUUCCAAGAAGACAAUACACCAGUAUAGUUUAUACAAAACAGCAGAGGAAAAAAAAAUUGGAAAACUAAGUAAAAGUCAGAAAGUGCCAGAAUUAAGGAUUGUGAGUAGCCUUAAAUUCUGACGUUUGGAUAUGCAAUUCUUUUACAACUGCCUUUUCUUCUCUAGCAUGUGGAUUUCUUUUUGAUCCAUCAUUCUGCACUUCUCCAAGCCUUAUCUGUGUGUACCUUCCAAACACUGCAGACGUACCUACCCAGUAUGUUGCAUCCAAAAUAUCUUCCUUGCUUUUCUUUUAGAGACCAUCACUAUUGAUCACAAAAACUGCAAUGCCAAAUGAACCCAACUUUCUCAUACUCCAUUGAGGUAGGGAGGUAUCACUGACUACAGCUCAUUGUAGCACUGGGGAACAUAGGCAUAGGCAGAAUAAAGCCAAAGUCAGCAGGAGGCCCAGUUUUCGAUGCUGACAGAUUAUGUGGAGUACUUGCUGUUAUUACAGCACUUCACUUGUUCAAAGCAAAGCAUGGCUUUCAACAGCUGCUAACACUGGCUGCUUCUGUAAAGCAGGCCUUAGAGUACAAGCACUGGGCUCCAGGCACAGAAAUGCUACAGCAGUGAUGAUCACCUGCAAAGAGCCUUGUUAAAAACUGCACAGAUCCUUUGCAAAAAUGGCACAGAACAUGUUUUUGGAAAGCUGUUUUCAUGGUGGAGCCAACCUUUCUUUCCCUCAAAUCCCUUCAGCCCUUAUCGCAUCUUUCUUCCCCAGUGCACAGGAACGGCUGUCCAACAAGGAAGUCACUCCCACUGGUUCCUGUAGCAUAAAAAGUACACACAGUGCUGCACACAAUGAUAUAGCAGGGGCAAACUUUACAGGCAACCAACACUUGUAUGCUCCCCUAAGCUUCUGCAUGUGCCCCUGGACAAGCCUAGGCUACCCCCAGCUUGGCUGAACCUGAGCAAAGAGGAGGGCUCAAGUGCUGGCAGUGCCACCUCUUCCUCAUAACAUAGACAGAAGUGCUGCUCUGCAGUUCCCUGGGGCAUGAAUCCUGUCCUUGCUGCCCACCACCCCCUCCUGCCUUUCCAUUCUUCUACCUCAGUGGGAAGCAUUUGUCUCUAUUCACAAACGCCAUCUCCCACUGUUCCUUGCCAACGAAACACAUUGAAAACAACCACCAGAUGGGAACACAUGCAGGAACUCAAGGUUAACCAGCAGCUGACAUGGAAGGUAUCUUUUCCUCAAAUUAAUCUGUUCAGGACAAAUGAUCAAGAUUAAGAAGUGGCCAGACACGAAGCCCUUCUGCCUGUGGAAGGGACUUGCCCUACAGGGACUAAGCAACCAGCCUCGCAGCCACAUCUUUAACCAAGAGCUUGGACGCAGGAGCUGUUGCCCCUUCCCAUUCGAUAGUAGUGCGUAGGACAGGUUUAAACACUUAAAAGGCAGCAUACAUCCCUGCAAAGAAUGUACAGUGCCCACAUUCUGAAGAGCUAGUGAUUCCCACAUACCUCAUGAAGCAUUUUGAGGUAGCCUGUCAACUAGGGAAAUGAUUACAAAGUCAUCAGUGAGAGCUUUAUUGGGUGGUAUUUGGGUACCUCAAUGUUGGGCCGAUGUUUGUACCUCUGGAGGUGGUACGAAUACAAAACACGUACAACACGCACAAAAAGGCCAGAGCAUAACACCAGUGUAUAGAUUUCCAGAAGUUAAUGUAAAGACAAGGCUCCUGAGGCUGCUGGCCUACGUUUUGUACGGCGCCUUGGCACGCAGCAGGAAUAAUCUAAUCACAUUAAUCACAGAAAUGCCAAAGCGCCAUCCAAGUUCUGAAACCUCAGCGUAUGCUUUGACAUUUCUGGAAAAACAAUUUUUAUUCAAUGUCACCUACCAUUUUCCUUAACAUUAUUAAAGAAAUGAAGAUGUAAGAAUACUCUGUUGGAGAAGCCAGGCCUCUAGCUUCUCUGGUGGGUGCCAGCAAGAAAACCUACCUGGUGAUUCCUACAAGUCUUUCCCCUGCCAUAUUUCAUUAGGGGAAUACCAGUGGAAAUGCACUGCUUUGGCCACGCUGCUGCAGCCAAGUUGCAGAUGUCAGGUGCUGUCCAAGCUCUCCGUAACUCCUGGCAUCCUAUUUUAUCUUGAUGCUUUAAAACAUCAUCAUCUUGACGGAGAUACAGGUGGGGAACCAAACAUGGGCAUGAGAAAAUAUCAGGAAAACAACUCCAGCACGAUGACAACUGGUAGCACCAGAAUUAUCGUGUAAAAACUGGUGUCAGCCUAUUAAAGCUUCUGUGGGUUUGGGAAAAACAGAGCGGCAAAAGACAUGGCUUCAACCUCUUCCAAACACCCCAAAGCACCUCAUGCCAUCAAGCCCAAGGUGUUUUCCUGUGAUCCUAUGGAUCUCAGCCAGCUUUAGAUGAGUCUGAAUUACCACAGAUAUCCACUGCUGUACAUGCAUAGCCCCAACAGGCCAAGAGAUAAGAAACUAUGAGCACCUUGGACAAGGAGGGAGAAACUGCAAAGCUUCACAAGAACCGCAGCCCCAUAUGGGCUGCAUGCCCAUGAAAGAGAGCAAAGCAAAGCAGGUGGGUCUUGCUUCUCCACCUACUCAAAUCUGCUUGGUUUUGCAACCACGCAAUGAAAUUUUCACAACUCCAGAAGAAAAUAACACAACAGUGGGGUCAACAAGACAUCACCAUGGGUAGUGUGAAAAAUACAGGUGACACAGCCACUGCUGAACGGAGACAAUGCCUUACAGCCCCAUGGAUGGAAAAAGCACCAUCAAUCAUCGUGCAUGCAGAGCAUAAUUCCUGAAGAUGACAACGGCUUCAGCCUGCAGCCACUUCAGGCUUCUGCCAAGGUCCCCAUCCAGCAUGAUGAGGUCUGAGGCUUGAGCCCAACAGGACAGCUACACAAGCACAUCAGGGCUCGCGCCCAGCAAACACCACAUCUGGAACUGUGUCACCAUCAGAUGAUUUCUGCUCAAAGCACCCAUGAGGAGGACUAACAUGCAAGUAGCUUGUGAUGUGUUCAGUGUAGCCUUUACUUCCAGUCUUCCUUGGAUAAACUAGGUAUUUCAAAUGCAACCUUUGUCUAAAAGGAAUGAAGGAGCAGGAGGGGGAAGGCAGAUUUUAGGCAUCACAAUAUGUUAAGUCAUUAAAAAUAAAGGACAUUUUAAUUUUGGAGGAAACAGCAUAGAAAAUUAAACGGAGGGUAUACUUUUCUUUAAGAAUUACUUUAAAAUGUAUAUAUAUAUAUAUAUACCAUAUGUACAGCAAAAAGUAUGCAAUAGAACUAAAACCUGCUUAUUCAUUAAUUUUACGUAGGGUGCAAAGUCUGCACAAUAAAAAUACACACUAAUAAACUCUUUUCUGCUAGAAAAAUUACUACACAUGGAUAAAAGAGCUGCAAGUCAAGUGAGCAGCAGGCUUCCUGGCCACUACCAGCUGCCUUUCCCACAAGUUUAGGUCACCAGAACAGGCCUUGGAAAAUAAAUGGUGCAACCACUGGACUACAACAUCUUCAGCAGAAAAAAAAAGGAUGCCAAUGCUGAUUUGGGGAUAAUUGAUUGGGAUUUUUUUUAUAAAGAACUUUUUUUUUUUUUAUCCUUACAGUGGCAUAUUUUAUGAAUGUAAAGAUUUGCAGAGUAGAGGGAUUUUAAAAUGGCACGGGAAUGCAACGUGACCCGUGGGGCAGCAACUGGCUGUUACCUGCAGCUCUUGCUUUACCUGCACUGCGCCUCGAAGUAAAGUUUUCCCUUCUCUUGCCUACAUUUUCCUCAUAGCCUCAUUGAAAACCUAAGAGAUGAAAGUGCCUAAAAGCCAAAAUCUUAAAAGGGCCAUGAUAAGCAGCAGGCAAAGUGCUCUCAGUGAAAUAACGCGUUUAUCCAAAAUGAUAGUAUGAGAAACUGCCUUUUAAGCCCCAUCUUUAGACUGUGUACUUCAGAUAAAUAGAUUAUUUUGUUACGAGCUACUACAGGCUACAAUAUACUCACAUAAAUAUAUCAAUGCCUAUACGUGAAUAUGAAUUUUAUAUAUUGAGUACAUACAAGAAACACGACAAAGAGCAGAUUACUGCCACGGCUGCAUCUUUCACGGUGGAGCCCACCAUGCGUGUCCCCAAGAUGUGAUUUUUGUCACCUCCUUGCAGUGCCAUGGGGGGAACCUGGCCACAGGAAGCCUUCCAGCCCCUUGUCAGUGUGCUGCUCUGCUAGUCCUUUGCCAAGAAAGGCUGCUUCUUCACAGCCAGUGGGGGUCAGCUGGCAAAGCUUCCACAACACCUUAUUCUCAAAACAAGAUGUUGAGGGACAGCACGAGUGUCCGCACUGAUGUAAGGGAAAGCUAAGCACAAGAACUCAGUGUGGCCCACGCUACAUCCUUGAAAAUCUUGUUUGUCAGGCUCAGCAUCAAUGUUCAAAGCAGACCUAAGCUCCCAGAGAGCCGCAGAAGGCACUGCUACCAGCUCAGGCUGUUCAGCAGCACUGCACACUACAUCUCAGUGUCCCGCUUUGAUGAGCUCAGAGGAGCCGUACCACCACGCCUGUCCAGGAACUGGGUCAAGAAGGUACAACAGGUCCGUAUCAGGCACAUGCACGCAGGAUACGACCUCUUCUGGAUUCAGAUUACAAUGCUGAAGCACCCCCUGCCAGACCAGUGGCAGAAAUGUGCUCCUAUUAUUUACACAAUAUAAAGUGCAUUAGGAUUUUCUUAUUGAACUGACAGACUUCUGUCUGGACCAUACAAUUUUGAAACAGAGGUGAGGACUUCAAUAGGAAAUUCUCUCAUGAGAAAAGAGGUUCAGACUGGUACUCUUCACCCUGUCCUCCUAGAAUUGUUUUUGGCCGUUCUUUCUAGUGCAAAUAAGCUUGUGUUUUCUCAAGUUUAAGGGACAUGGCAGUUUUAGGGCACAAGGAAUGAACAUUUGAAAUGCAUGAGGAACAGCAUUCCCAAGCAUUGCAACGGGCCCUUCUGCACACAAGCAGCCUACAUUAUUGCUGCUCUCAGAGGUUGAAAAUGCACUGCCAAAAAUAAUGAUGAACCCGUUUCCAAAUCUAACCGGUACAAUCUUGCAUUGCUACAUUUUGAGUUAGUCUGUUUUAUCCUCCAAUGACAAUAUUUGCAAGCACCAGUGCUUUACAUUUCCGUGGAAACCUGUUGCUAGUGGUUUACGCAUUGGUAGUCGGCUGUGAACUUGAAGAUCCCAUCCAGUUUUGGAUACUAAGGUGCAUCCCACACGGGGAGAGUAUAUGCAUUAGUGAAUCCCACGGAACCCAGCCCUGCCUCACAGCCAGCAAACACUGGAUUCCUGGCUGCUAUUUACAAUACACUAAUGCAAUCAGAAGGCCAAUUAAUUAACUCAGGAAAAAGAUUUAAAAAAAAAAAUGGGUUAAACGCACAGAGAUACCAGUCUAACUAAGAUACAGCCAGCUGCAUUUAGUUACCCUUUUGUCAAAAUGGCAAGUGAGUAGCAAUAAUGAGAGCCAUUUUGCAUCUCAUCUUUUUUUUUUUUUUCUUAAACAAAAGACACGAUGAAUAAACAGGCCUUUUCAAUCACUUUGCCCAUUGCAAGUAUUUUCCUUACUAACAUCAAAGGAAUAGAAGGAAUGCAUGACCACUUACUACACACACCUAACCUAAGCAGAUUCCAACACGGCAGCUUUUACGAUGCACUGACACAGACGUGGGCUUGGACUGGAAGAUGUUGAGUGCGUAGGGGAGGAGUGCCACACGGGAGCGGGAAGGCGAGCAUAAAAGAGUUGUACAUUCAUAACUCCAGUUGGUUGGGAUCUGUGUUAAGUUCAUGGUUACUCCAGGCACUGUGAUGGGCAGCAGCAGCCAGCGAUGUGCUGACUUGUGCAUCCAGGACUCGCUUGCUAAACUCUGGUUUCACACCAACUGGGACGAGAAGUUAUUGUCAUGGUUUGCUAACCGAACCUGUUAAAAAUGUUGCGACCAAAAGCCUAGAAGCAAAGAUGAACCAGUACCCCAUAAUGCCUCUAGCUGAUUCAUUGUGGUCUGCUAGCAGUUGAAGUGGUGGAAUGAGAAAAUCUCUUACAGACUUGAAAAAGUACCUGAAAGAGCAAUCUGUGCAGAAAUGGAUGGCUGUUGUGACGCUAAGCCAAAUGUUUGCUUGCUGUAACUGCUAUAUGUAGUUUUAAGUAAAGGGCAAAUCACCUAAAACAGUGAAAUUAAUUUUCUUACUUUCUGUCACAACUGUAACAUUUCCUAAAGGUUCUUUGGUGACUUUGGUGCAAGCUUUUUUUUUCUUUUUCCUCUUUUUUUUUUUUUUUUUUAAGUCAAAUCAAAUUGACUGUUAUUAGUACCCAAAAUAAAGUCCAGAUUAUCCUCUUAGUUCCCACCCCUGCCUCCCCAGCUUCUCUUGCUAUGGUUAAUGUCAUAACAGGCAAUAGCUUCUGGAUUUAGUGUGGCCAUGCAGCGUGCAGGUGGGUCCAGACUAAGAGUGAAGAUAAAUACCUUUCUGAACAGAUUUUAAAAAAAGUGGAAUGGUUGAGUUGGAAAACAUCUGGUCCACAUGCACACUUGGCCACUUUGCAAAAUACAGUGCAAGUGAUUAUAAAUAUCUGACUAGACAGAGUAAUACAUCCUUCAAAAAAUCCUUAAAGGUGGGCAACACAUUCUUUAAAGUACCUGGAGCUCAACCAAACUCCCAGUGAUUUCAGGAGAGGAACCGGCACCCAAUGGCUGAAAAAGCCCCUUGAAUGAUAUGUAUCCGUUUUCUAAGAAACGACCAAGAAUUCUCAUACUCUUCAGGCCUGCUAAUUCUAUGCAUUUUCCCUCCCAGCAGAGAAUUCUUC